AUCUGGCUGACGAGGCUCAGAUAAGACGAAACGCGUGUCCUGGAU
rnacentral:hammerhead_ribozyme from 1 species